UGGGGAAUCUUGCACAAUGGGGGCAACCCUGAUGCAGCGACGCCGCGUGAGCGAUGAAGCCCUUCGGGGUGUAAAGUUCUUUCGACAGGAACGAUAAUGACGGUACCUGGAGAAGAAGCUGCGGCUAACUACGUGCCAGCAGCCGCGGUAAUACGUAGGCAGCGAGCGUUGUUCGGCGUUACUGGGCGUAAAGAGUGCGUAGGCGGCGAGCCAAGGUUGGUGUGAAAUCUCCCGGCUUAACCGGGAUGGUGCGCCGAAAACUGGUUGACUGGAGUAUGGGAGAGGAAAGCGGAAUGCCUGUUGUAGCGGUGAAAUGCGUAGAGAUCAGGAGGAACACCUGCGGUGUAGACAGCUUUCUAGACCAAAACUGACG
rnacentral:rRNA from 1 species